AUUUUCUUUAAUCUAGCAAUGAUUCUUCAUGACGUAUUUGUUCUUAAUGGAAAAGCGUCUUAAAGACAAACAUGGAUUGAGGAAGACAAAAAGCUACAGGAGGUGCUCUGUAACCUAUUGGUUCCAGGAACGUUCUCUCUGAACUCUUUCUGUGACCCCAAUUUCAUCCUAUGUCCAUGGUCUCUUUGGAUGCCCCAGUCACCCGUAAUUGGUUUUGACGGGUCUAUGUUUUGCAGUGUGUGUGAACACGCUGUAUUUGGUGUACCAUGUCCAUGAGGUUCAUGGGAAGAAGCUAGCAAAGCCCUGCCCAAAUCUAAACUUCCCCCUCCUCUUGUCUCCUCCUCUCCAAUCCAGAUCCAUUGGCUGGGAUCUCUGUGGUGGAAUGCUGCUGGGACCCCCUUCUAACCUCCCCCCAACCCUCCCCUUGAGUUCACCCAUCCACCCAUUAGGAAUUCCAGCAGGGCAUUGUGGGUGGGAUGAAUGGGGUCAGAGCCAAGGAAACAAAUGCCGCCCACCCCCUCUACAUUGGCACAGAAAUGACCAGAAGGCUGUUCUGUGCCGCUGCUGUCCUCCUCCCGCUCUAGAGGAGCAUCACGCGCUCGUGACGGCAGCAUCUUUUGCGUCGUGUUCCUCUCCACAGCAUCACCCUUACAAAAGACUCAAGGCUAUAUGAUUGUCGUAUUCUUUCUCUGUGUUGAUUCAUGCUGAGCUUCUGAGCGUGUGGACGCGCUUUCUCACACGUAUUAACGUACACUGCAGUGCCUUGAAUAUGUGGAGAGCAGUGGGGAGUGGUUAUUCACGUCAGGGAGCUGCGUUCCAGUGCUUACGUUCAUGUACCUUGCCAGAGCCUGAGUUCACACACGCAACGCUUAAGCACGACUUGAAUUCGUCAGUGAUCCUCCAUGACAGGGUUUUGUCUUCCUCUGUCUCCUCUCCAAAAAGCAGACAAUCUUGAGGGUUUGCUGCCAGGAGCUCUUCAUUAGUUGCACUUGCAGUAGCUAUUUCCUAUUCUGUUGAACAGGUUUUAAAAAGGGCAUAAAAAGUCUUAAUUAACCCUUCCACAAAUGAAUGCCUUUAAAUCUUAAAUCGGACUUAAAUUCAUAAAGUCAUGGUAUUGUUGCAUACACUGUAAAAAAAAAAAAAAAAAAAAAAAAAAGGAAUCUUCUUCUGUAGGCCUAUUUUUGUUUUGAUUUCCAAUACAAAUAUCUGAACAUCCUUUAAUCAAGCUAAAUUUACUUGAGAUGCAAGUCUUGUUUUCUGACAUGAAGUCUUGUUUUCUGAGAAAUUAAAGAAAAUGAAGUGACCUUCUGCUUGAAACAAGAGCAAAUAUCUGUCAGUGAGGAAUGACAACUUGUAUUCCCUUUGAAUUAAAGGCAUAGUUCACCCAAAAAUGUAAUUCUGUCGUUAAUUACUCACCUUCAUGUCGUUCCAAACCCAUAAGACCUUUGUUCAUCUUCGGAACACAAAUUAAGAUAUAUUUGAUGAAAUCAGAGAGCUUUCUGACCCUGCAUAAACAGCAAAGCAACUGAUGCCCUCAAAGCCCAGGUAUGUAGUUAGGACAUUGUUAAAAUAGUCCAUGUGACAUCAGUGGUUCAACCAUAAUGUUAUGAAGCUACGAGAAUACAUUUUGUGUUCAAACAUAAAUAAUGAUCAUCUUCAAAAAAUCUUCUCUUCUGUGUCACUGUGUCACUAUCUUAUUGAUGUUCUUACUACCUAUCUGUGCCUUGAACGUGGUAGUUCCCUUAAUGUCUAUGGAGGGUCAGAAAGCUCUUGGAUUUCAUCAAAAAUAUCUUAAUUUUUGUUCCAAAGAUGAAUGAAGGUCUUACAGGUUUUCUAACAGGAUAUCUUAAACUGACUCCUAAAGUUUAUGAUAUUCUUCAUAUUCUGUGUGGUGGUUAGUUCACACUGAAAGAAAUUAAUCUUUGUCAGUCGGCUUUAAUUUAUUUUUACCUUUCACAGGCAUUUUUACCUUUAUAAAGCAAUUUUCUAAAAGUGUGCAUUAUCUUUUCUGGAAAAAUACAUUAAAUCAGUGAAUUAGAGUAAUAAGACAUUUGCGGUGUUACCAAGCAAAUAAAAUCCGUAUCAACAAAAUUCA
ensembl:lncRNA